UUUCCGUAGGUGAACCUGCGGAAGGAUCAUUAAUGAGUUGUCAUGGGGUUCAAUGCUGGCAGCCAGUUUUUGGAUGCAUGUGCUUGCCCUAACAAUCAUCUUCUUCCAAACACCUGUGCACAUUUUUGAGGGAGUCUUGAGUUGGUUGCCGCUCUUGGGUGAUUUUCUCACAUUCCCUUAAAUCAUUAUACGCUAUUAACAAUGUUGAACGUGCUCUGUGCCGCAAGGCCAUUAAUAUAAUACAACUUUUAACAACGGAUCUCUUGGCUCUC
rnacentral:misc_RNA from 1 species